rnacentral:lncRNA from 1 species
UGCAAGGGAAAGGAAGUCAACAUGGUCGGCAUUAAAUCACUUCAAGUUUGUUUUUGAUAAUAGUGAAAUUUGUGCAGAAUAGCUACAGACCAUGAAGUUCAGAUGUGAAGAGAUGCAGGUCUUUGUUCUACAUGGUGUAUGAGUGAAACGUGUAUGGCAGUCAUAGAAAACAUUUAAAAAUAUGAAGGUAUGCUCCACUUUUCACUGAACGUGGUUAUUUACUUGGAUAGGGAGAUGUGCCCAGUCUGUUAUGUGUUCUUGUUAUACCAGGUAGCAUGGGCUUUAGUGGAACCUUUUCCAUAGAAGAAAUCUGUGAGAUAGAUCUUGCUGCAGCAUGCCAUUGACAAACCAAGAAGCUCAGAUUGUUGUGUGCACACUAGUUUGAUUUGUUUAUGACUUUGAAUGGAUUUCAUAGAAACAGGAAACUACAAGUAUUGAUGCAUCUGUUUU